rnacentral:rRNA from 1 species
UAGUGGCGAACGGGUGAGUAACACGUGGGCAAUCUGCCCUGCACUCUGGGACAAGCCCUGGAAACGGGGUCUAAUACCGGAUUCGAGCCUCCUCCGCAUGGUGGAGGUUGGAAAGCUCCGGCGGUGCAGGAUGAGCCCGCGGCCUAUCAGCUUGUUGGUGAGGUAACGGCUCACCAAGGCGACGACGGGUAGCCGGCCUGAGAGGGCGACCGGCCACACUGGGACUGAGACACGGCCCAGACUCCUACGGGAGGCAGCAGUGGGGAAUAUUGCACAAUGGGCGAAAGCCUGAUGCAGCGACGCCGCGUGAGGGAUGAAGGCCUUCGGGUUGUAAACCUCUUUCAGCAGGGAAGAAGCGAAAGUGACGGUACCUGCAGAAGAAGCGCCGGCUAACUACGUGCCAGCAGCCGCGGUAAUACGUAGGGCGCAAGCGUUGUCCGGAAUUAUUGGGCGUAAAGAGCUCGUAGGCGGCUUGUCGCGUCGGUUGUGAAAGCCCGGGGCUUAACCCCGGGUCUGCAGUCGAUACGGGCAGGCUAGAGUUCGGUAGGGGAGAUCGGAAUUCCU